UCAUGUGGCCCUUUUCUCUGCCCCUUGCAGCAAACAAAGAAGAGUGGGAAUAAGAGGCACAGGUGAUGCUGGGCAUGCAGAAAGUCCUGCAGAGUUUAGGAGAGGCAAAGGAAAAGCUCAGGCAAGCAGCUGACCGGCCGCGGGAGCAGGAGGAGGAGACGUGACCGUGGCAGAGCAGGCAUCAGAGCCCACACAUCUGGAACUGUCCCAGGAGACUCCAGAAAUCACCCUGCAGAUCGCUUUUCAUCUUCCUGCCAUGGAAGCUUCAGACAAUCCCUUCCAAGUUUCCUUCUUCUAUCAGAGUGCUGAGAACACACUGUUCGCCGGGAGAGUCUUUGGCAUGUGUGGGGAGCUCUCUUCUGCUGCUGACCUGCUGCCUGGCCCACACUGCUGCCGAGGGCCUCUACCAAGACUCUAAUGCUGCCUUUCUGAGGUCAUUUUACAAGGCCUAUUUCAGGGAAGCAUUUUCUAUCACACUGCAAAUGUCAGCAGCUGCCCAGGACAGGAGGCCUGACCAAAACGUGAGCACCACACUGCUGGGAGAGCGGUGCAUCUCUGCAAGAGAACAAGGCCCUUGUGGCUCCUUGAAAGGGAGUGUGAGUCUCACUUGAUGUCAGAAUCACCGCAAGAGUAUAUUAAGAAAAGCAAAGAUCUCCUCUUCACUAAUAUGGAACUUUUCCUGAAAAGCAUCCUCACCACAGAGCAAUAAAUCCCAGGAAAACCAAGAGAUCAGCUUGUGGGUGAAGAUAAAAUCUAGAAAGAAAAUGGUGAUUUCAUUUCAGUCUGCAUGAUUAAAAGUCCAAGAAAUUGUACAUGUGACCAACACCAACAGAGAAAGUCACUAAGUGAAAUCCAAAAUAACAUCAUUAUGGAAUCGUACGUACAGUCUUUUCAGAGUAGGAAAAAAUAAAGUGCAGAGAAGAACUGGGACACGCUUUACCUGGUAAACACUCUUUGGGUUGCUGACUUUGGGAAUCAUC